UAGCCAUCAACUUCAGAUUGCUUAAGAAGGGCCUAGAAGAAUCCAAAGCAGAACAUUUCUGGAAAAAAGACUACUCUUGAUGGUAAAUAGUAAAGUCCUUAAAUUAUGGCAGUAUUCUCAUUAGUCAUUAAACAUUAAAAAAAAAAAUUGCAAUGCAAUUGUCAGUAAACAGGAACCAGCAGGUGCACACACUACACCACAAUAAUAGCCUACAUCUGUAGGAAAGAAUAAUAUGCUUCAACCAUCAAAAAAAUUCUCAAACCCGUCAGGAAUUUGUGAUCAGCAAUUGCUCAACUGCAUCUCUGUUUCAAGGACAGGGCUGAAAAAUUGCCAACUUGAAUCAUGAAAAA